rnacentral:rRNA from 1 species
UACAGAGGUCCCAAGCGUUGUUCGGAUUUACUGGGCGUAAAGGGUGCGUAGGCGGUGGGGCAAGUUUGAGGUGAAAGCUCCGGGCUCAACCCGGAAAAUGCCUUGAAAACUAUCCGGCUAGAGGGUUGGAGGGGAGACUGGAAUUCUCGGUGUAGCAGUGAAAUGCGUAGAUCUCGAGAGGAACACCAGUGGCGAAGGCGGGUCUCUGGACAGCACCUGACGCUGAGGCACGAAAGCCAGGGGAGCAAACGGG